rnacentral:lncRNA from 1 species
CUGCAAGCAGUACGUCUCUGCUGAGGAGCUCUGUGACCAGCUGUGCCUGCUGAGAGCCCCACGCAUCUCCCUGGCCUUUGGCACCCACAGGGAGCUGCUGCUGAGGGUGGGCGAGGGCCAAGUGAGGGAGGUUUCAAAUGUUCUGGGCCCUGAUGAGCACCUACAGAGCAGCCAAAGGGUGCAUUUGGUUCUGUUCAGCCCCCAGGGAGUGCUGGGUUUCAUUGUCUCCAGCACAGAAGUUCUGGAUGCAUUUCUCAUGGGAGAUUUUUCCUCAGAUCAGCUGCUGCAGAAAGGGCCCAGAGCCCAGAGGAGCUCCCCCAGAGAGAGCCAGGCCUUGCCCCUCAUCCCUAACCCAGUGGUGUGUCUGGAAGCAGGGGACACGAUCCUCUUCCAGCUCAGCAUCAAUUCCC